AUACGGAGGGUGCAAGCGUUAAUCGGAAUUACUGGGCGUAAAGGGUGCGUAGGCGGCUUGAUAAGUCGGAUGUGAAAGCCCCGGGCUUAACCUGGGAAUUGCAUUCGAUACUGUCAGGCUAGAGUAUGUCAGAGGUUGGCGGAAUUCCUGGUGUAGCGGUGAAAUGCGUAGAUAUCAGGAGGAACACCAGUGGCGAAGGCGGCUAACUGGGACAAUACUGACGCUGAGGCACGAAGCGUGGGGAGCAAACAGGAUUAGAAACCCUAGUAGUCC
rnacentral:rRNA from 1 species